GUGCCAGCCGCCGCGGUACUACCGGCAGCUCAAGUGAUGUCCCAUAUUAUUGGGCCUAAAGCGUCCGUAGCUGGCUGCGCAAGUCCGUCGGGAAAUCCACUCGCCCAACGAGUGGGCGUCCGACGGAAACUGCACAGCUUGGGACCGGAAGGCUCGAAGGGUACGUUCGGGGUAGGAGUGAAAUCCCAUAAUCCCGCACGGACCACCGAUGGCGAAAGCACUUCGAGAAAACGGAUCCGACAGUGAGGGACGAAAGCUAGGGUCUCGAACCGGAUUAGAAACCCCUGUAGCCC
rnacentral:rRNA from 1 species